GCGGGUGUGGCGGAAUGGCAGACGCGCAAGGUUUAGGACCUUGUGACCCAAAAGGUCGUGGGGGUUCAAGUCCCUUCACCCGCACCA
rnacentral:tRNA from 1 species